rnacentral:rRNA from 1 species
GAACCUGCGGAGGGAUCAUUACCGAGUUUACAACUCCCAAACCCCUGUGAACAUACCUAUACGUUGCCUCGGCGGAUCAGCCCGCGCCCCGUAAAACGGGACGGCCCGCCCGAGGACCCCUAAACUCUGUUUUUAGUGGAACUUCUGAGUAAAACAAACAAAUAAAUCAAAACUUUCAACAACGGAUCUCUUGGUUCUGGCAUCGAUGAAGAACGCAGCAAAAUGCGAUAAGUAAUGUGAAUUGCAGAAUUCAGUGAAUCAUCGAAUCUUUGAACGCACAUUGCGCCCGCCAGUAUUCUGGCGGGCAUGCCUGUUCGAGCGUCAUUUCAACCCUCAAGCUCAGCUUGGUGUUGGGACUCGCGGUAACCCGCGUUCCCCAAAUCGAUUGGCGGUCACGUCGAGCUUCCAUAGCGUAGUAAUCAUACACCUCGUUACUGGUAAUCGUCGCGGCCACGCCGUUAAACCCCAACUUCUGAAUGUUGACCUCGGAUCAGGUAGGAAUACCCGCUGAACUUAAGCAUAUCAAUAA